UGGGGAAUCUUGGACAAUGGGGGCAACCCUGAUCCAGCCAUGCCGCGUGAGUGAUGAAGGCCUUAGGGUCGUAAAGCUCUUUCGCCUGUGAAGAUAAUGACGGUAGCAGGUAAAGAAACCCCGGCUAACUCCGUGCCAGCAGCCGCGGUAAUACGGAGGGGGUUAGCGUUGUUCGGAAUUACUGGGCGUAAAGCGCACGUAGGCGGACCAGAAAGUUGGGGGUGAAAUCCCGGGGGGCUCAACCCCGGAACUGCCUCCAAAACUAUUGGUCUAGAGUUCGAGAGAGGUGAGUGGAAUUCCAAGUGUAGAGGUGAAAUUCGUAGAUAUUUGGAGGAACACCAGUGGCGAAGGCGGCUCACUGGCUCGAUACUGACGCUGAGGUGCGAAAGUGUGGGGAGCAAACAGGAUUAGAUACCCUGGUAGUCCACACCGUAAAACGAUGAAUGCCAGUCGUCGGGUAGCAUGCUAUUCGGUGACACACCUAACGGAUUAAGCAUUCCGCCUGGGGAGUACGGUCGCAAGAUUAAAACUCAAAU
rnacentral:rRNA from 1 species